rnacentral:rRNA from 1 species
CGGGGUGCAGCAGGCGCGAAAACUUUACAAUGCGGGAAACCGUGAUAGGGGAACUCCGAGUGCCCGUAAAAUCGGGCUGUCCAUUGGUUUAAAUAACCAGUGAAGAAAGGGCCGGGCAAGACCGGUGCCAGCCGCCGCGGUAAUACCGGCGGCUCGAGUGGUGGCCACUAUUACUGGGCUUAAAGCGUUCGUAGCUGGUUUGUUAAGUCUCUGGGGAAAUCUUCCGGCUUAACCGGAAGGCGUCUCAGGGAUACUGGCAGACUAGGGACCGGGAGAGGUGAGGGGUACUCCAGGGGUAGGAGUGAAAUCCUGUAAUCCUUGGGGGACCACCUGUGGCGAAGGCGCCUCACCAGAACGGCUCCGACAGUGAGGGACGAAAGCUGGGGGAGCAAACCGGAUUAGAUACCCGGGUAGUCCCAGCUGUAAACGAUGCGCGUUAGGUGUAUCGGUGACCACGAGUCACCGAGGUGCCGAAGAGAAAUCGUGAAACGUGCCGCCUGGGAAGUACGGUCGCAAGGCUGAAACUUAAAGGAAUUGGCGGGGGAGCAC